CAAGUAGUUAUCUAAAACAAGAACUAUCUAGUAUUUCCACCAACGCAGAUCACAAACUCAAUAAAUACAUUUGCCAGGAGGUAAAUGACGCUCUUAAGAUGCCAUACUAUGCGAACUUGGGACGACUGUCAAGCAGGAGAGCCAUAGAGCAUUAUGAGACCGAUAGUAUGAAGAUUCUGAAAACUUCUUAUCGUUCUUCAAAUGUCCGCAACAAAUAUUUCCUUGACUUAGCAAUUGAAGAUUUCAACAUGUGCCAGUCAAUACAUCGUGAGGAACUCAAAAAUCUUUCCAA